GAUGAACGCUGGCGGCGUGCCUAAUACAUGCAAGUCGAGCGAACAGAUGAGGAGCUUGCUCCUCUGACGUUAGCGGCGGACGGGUGAGUAACACGUGGAUAACCUACCUAUAAGACUGGGAUAACUUCGGGAAACCGGAGCUAAUACCGGAUAAUAUAUUGAACCGCAUGGUUCAAUAGUGAAAUACGGUUUUGCUGUCACUUAUAGAUGGAUCCGCGCCGCAUUAGCUAGUUGGUAAGGUAACGGCUUACCAAGGCAACGAUGCGUAGCCGACCUGAGAGAGUGAUCGGCCACACUGGAACUGAGACGCGGUCCAGACUCCUACGGGAGGCAGCAGUAGGGAAUCUUCCGCAAUGGGCGAAAGCCUGACGGAGCAACGGCGCGUGAGUGAUGAAGGUCUUCGGAUCGUAAAACUCUGUUAUUAGGGAAGAACAAAUGUGUAAGUAACUAUGCACGUCUUGACGGUACCUAAUCAGAAAGCCACGGCUAACUACGUG
rnacentral:rRNA from 1 species